GCCCUUGUGGCGGAAUCGGUAGACGCGACGGAUUCAAAAUCCGUUUCUUUCACGAGAGUGCCAGUUCAAGUCUGGCCAAGGGCACCA
rnacentral:tRNA from 1 species